rnacentral:rRNA from 1 species
CAGAACUGUGGGGGCACGUGCAGAGAGCGGAAGCCGGGAAUGGGAUCCCGGUGCAAGCGAGGUACCAGCCGCAUUGGAAAAACCGUGCGGCAAUGGGAAGACGUGAUGCGGAGUGAAGUUUAGUAAUGAAGUCCGUGAGCUGUGCGUCAAGAAAAGCCGCUAUUGUUCAUACCAUACCCGUACCGUAAACCGACACAGGUGGAUGAGGAGAGAAUCCUAAGGCCGGCGGAAGAAGCAUUGUCAAGGAACUCGGCAAAAUGACCCCGUAACUUCGGGAGAAGGGGUGCCUGCGAGAGCAGGCCGCAGAGAAUAGGCUCAAGCAACUGUUUAGCAAAAACACAGGUCUAUGCGAAACCGAAAGGUGAGGUAUAUGGGCUGACGCCUGCCCGGUGCUGGAAGGUUAAGAGGAGAGGUUAGCGCAAGCGAAGCUUUGAAUUUAAGCCCCAGUAAACGGCGGCCGUAACAAUAACGGUCCUAAGGUAGCGAAAUUCCUUGUCGGGUAAGUUCCGACCCGCACGAAAGGCGUAAUGAUUUGAGCGCUGUCUCGACAAUGCAUCCGGUGAAAUUGAAGUACCAGUGAAGAUGCUGGUUACCUGCGCCAGGACGGAAAGACCCCAUGGAGCUUUACUCCAGUUUGGUACUGGGAUCCGGUACUGCAUGUACAGGAUAGGUGGGAGGCUAUGAAUCGGUAACGCCAGUUGCCGAGGAGCCGCUGUUGGGAUACCACCCUUGCAGUAUUGGGUUUCUAACCAGCCGCCGUGACCCGGCGGUGGGACAAUGCCAGACGGGGAGUUUGACUGGGGCGGUCGCCUCCGAAAGGGUAUCGGAGGCGCCCAAAGGUUCCCUCAGGAUGGACGGAAACCAUCCAAAGAGUGCAAAGGCAGAAGGGAGCUUGACUGCGACACCGACGGGUGGAGCAGGUACGAAAGUAGGGCUUAGUGAUCCGGUGGUAUUAAGUGGGAAUGCCAUCGCUCAACGGAUAAAAGCUACCCUGGGAUAACAGGCUUAUCACUCCCAAGAGUUCACAUCGACGGAGUGGUUUGGCACCUCGAUGUCGGCUCAUCGCAUCCUGGGGCUGUAGUAGGUCCCAAGGGUUGGGCCGUUCGCCCAUUAAAGCGGUACGCGAGCUGGGUUCAGAACGUCGUGAGACAGUUCGGUCCCUAUCCGGCGUGGGCGUAGGAUAUCUGAGAGGAGCUGUCCUUAGUACGAGAGGACCGGGAUGGACGGGCCGCUGGUGCACCGGUUAGACUGCCAAGUCUAUAGCCGGGUAGCCAAGCCCGGAAGGGAUAAACGCUGAAGGCAUCUAAGCGUGAAGCCCCCCUCAAGAUGAGAUAUCCCAUCCGAAAGGAGUAAACCCCCUUGAAGACGACGAGGUCGAUAGGGCAGAGGUGGAAGUGUGGUAACACAUGGAGCUGACUGCUACUAAUAGGGUGAGGGCUUGAC